UAUUCUCUUACACGUUCCAAACUUGUUCUUCAACCUGCUCCCCCUAGCCCAGAUUGCUGAGCCCUCUCAUUCCCCAGCCCAUCUCUGCUGUUCUUGAGUUUUUAAUCAAACUGUCAUCCAUUUGACUGCAAUCUCAAUGACCGACAUCCUUGCUCCCUCGGUAUUUUGCAAGGUAUUUCACUUCGUGUAGCUUCUCGUUUGCAUUUCAGCUUUGAAACUGAGGCACUUGGUGACACGGGGACUACACUGGGUGUGACCCUCGGUGAAAAAUACAUUCAGGGAAAUGUUCUGGAAGUUACGGAAAGAACCCAGAUACAAAGGAAAGGUGAUGACUGGGAAGAAGCUUCUCAGAAACACAAAAGGAUGAGCAUUAGAAAAUAAAAUGGUGACUUUUCCAUUGCAUCCAGAAAGGAGGAAGAAAGGAUGAAAGACUGAAUAUGAGAUUGUAAUCACCCCUUCUCCUCUCUCUGGAUGUCUCCAGAUGGCAUCAUUUCUUCUACCUUAUGUCAUUGUUGUCUAAAUACUACCCAACAACAUGGCCUGGGCCUCAAUCAUUUUUAUAUCCCUGGGUCCCACGGAAUUGUCUGGCCCAUGUAAAGCCCUCAAUGACAAUAUUUUUUGUUUUGCUUUGUAGCCUUCCUUCUAUUCACAUUUAAUCCAGGUGUUGAAUUAAACUCUCAGGCUUUUCUGGCUUUCGAAGAGGCAGGCUUCUUCCAUAUUCAUUCCAUGCACAACUCCGUCCUCUGAUACAGUCAGACACAGUCUGUUGAACACAAUUUCCACCCGAUGAUUAGAAAACGCAGUCCAAUCAAAAGCACAUCUGCCCCCACAUCCUCUGUUACAGUUUGUUAGCCCUGGGUGCCACCUCUUGCAUUCUGAAGGCACCGACCUUUUCCUCCCGUCCAAGCUGAAGAGGCAGUGGUGUCCCCCUCACCCUCGGCAAAGGAAAUGCAUUUCCCUUUUUAUGUCACAUGCUGGGAGCAGAUUAAAAACAUUUUUGAUCCUCUACUCAAUAACUGAUGCCUAGCAUCACACAGUUUUCAGCUAGAGCAGUGGUUCUCGGUGCUGGCUGCACAGCAAAAUCACCUGGGGGCUUUGAAAAAACACCGAUCCCUGGACCCCACCACAGACCGCCAGUUACGUUGGAAUCUCUGGAUACCCAUGUUUUAUUAAACUCUCCCUCGGGCGAUUCUAACAUGCAGUCGGCUUGAAAGAGACUAAGCUAAAAGGGAUUUUUCUGUCCCUAUUCAAACUUUGGAAAAUAUUCUAAAAGGAUCCCCAAAUACGAGAAUCUCAAAAUAUGAUAAAGAAGCCAUUCUUUUACUGUGGCUCAAAUUUGUGGCUGUUUAUUGUUUGUGCUUACACUGUCUUUUCUUCUACACAUAGGCAGUCACAUCCGUCCUGACGCACAAGUAUUAGAGAAGCUCUGAUGUACUGAUAAGGUAGCAGUUUAUUGUGAAGGUAAUUCUACAGCCGUCAUCCACAGAGUGCUUGCUCUCUUCCAUCAAUAAAUACAUAAUUUUUAGUGAGAACAUCGGUAUCGUCAACAGAUCACAUUAUGGGUUGAAUUCUGUCCUCCCCAAAUUUGUAUGUUGGAAUUUUAACCCACAGUGAGAAUGUGACUUUACCUACAGGCGGUCUUUACAGAGGUAAUCGAGUUAAGGUGAGGUCCCUAGGGUGCACCCUGAUGGAACAUGACAGGUGUCCUUAUAAAAAGGGGAAGUUUGGGCACAGAGACACACCCAGGAAGAACGCCAGGCAUGUCAAGGAGAAAGGCCCGGGGCAGGUCUUUCCCUCCCGGCCGUCAGAGGGAGUCCGUCCUAUCGACACCCUAAUUUUGGACUGCUAGCCUCUGGAAUUGUGAGAAAAUAAAUGCCUGUUGUUUAAGCCAUGCAAUUUGUGGUACUUUGUUACAUCAGUCCUAGGAAACUAAUAGAAAUAACCUUCGACCUCCAAUCACCUUGUGUUAGACAAAUUAUUUCUAAGUCAGCUUUUUUUCUACUCAGAACACAAUUUCCCAUAGAAAUAUUAUUAAACAAUGGAUACGGGUUCUCAGAUGAGCCAAAAACACCCAUUUAAGCCUGAAAUGCACUUUUGGAACUAGACUAAGGCGUCCUGGGACAAGCAUUGCAGUGAGAGAGGAAAUCUGUGGCAAAUUAACCUUGUAGAGCGGCUACGCGGGUUUUCUACCCUGACACUGGAAGGCCGGGACCGAGCUGGGUGUUGAGAAAUGCUAAGUUCUAAGGGCGUGGAGGGUGGGGGGGAUGUCCUAACGUUUGCUGCAUGAGUGUCUCCCAGCACAGCGAGUGUGUUGAAAUCAAGAAUCUGUGCAUGUUCAACGUCCGAGAAGAGCAGGCCAAGACCCAUAAGCCAGAGAAGAAACUUCAGGUGAACUUUGGAAAAAGGCAGUGGGCUUCAGGGGUCUGAUCCUGAGGGCACAGGAUGGAAGCUAUGGAGAGAAAGGCAAAGACCGUGUCCAGAAGGCUGGAUGGUCAGGCCAUUGACCAUCGCUAGGCCAAAUACAUAUGGACUCCCUUCUGACCUCAAAUCUCCUGCUGGCAUUGGACAUCUCUAAGAAUCCUGGGUGGGCAGAGCCUUCCUGCAGUUGGGAACACUAACUCCACUCAAGUCUGGUUAAAUUCAACGUAUUUCACGUUUUGAGUCACUCCCCAUCUAAACCUCACUCCAAUUCCUCCAAUGCACGUGAACUCGUAUGCGUCACUGGACACCACCUCCUAAGAGUAAUUCACAGUGAGUCAGUGACUGACAGCCCAUCAGAAGACCUGGAGGUGCUUGCAUUCUUCAAUGCAGAUGCUCCAACCUAAAUGAAUCUUCAUUCCAUGAAACUUCAGAGGCUAGAAUUGAACCAAGAAAUUCAUCAGUUGUGGCAAAGCUUUAGGGAGGCACCAAGAAUGUAUAUUGUCAACUUCUCUCACUUAUUCAUAAUUUCCUCUAUUCCAAUUUCACAUAUUGUUAAAUAAAUGCCACAUUUUCUGCACAAUUGUUCCCAUAGCAGAGAAAUUUGGUCAUUACUUUCUUGUAAAUUUAGCUCAUCUUGUAUCACCAACUGUUUCACAACACCGGACUCUGCGACAUGUCUCUGACUUACGCCUGACAUACUUAUCUAUAAAAACUAAACCAAGGGGGAAAGAGGCAACCUGAGGACUAACUGGAGUUUCCCCGGGUCCUCCCUGGAGAGACAGAGGGCUGGGCUUGAAGGUGAGGGCAAAGCCAGCUUCCUGCCCCGUCCCUCCCAGCUGUGCGAGUCAGAGCUGAUUUCCCUAAUUCCACUCUGAACCCUUUGCUCUUAGAU